GUUUUAAUAGUUUAAUAUAAAACAUUGGUCUUGUAAACCAAAACUAAGAGUAAUCUUUUAAAGCU
rnacentral:tRNA from 1 species